UUAACUCAAAUUUGUAUGGAGUUGGCACAUUUGCAUUCGUUUGCCGCUAGGGGUGCUGUUCCAACUGGAUAAAAAAUUUAAAAA
rnacentral:pre_miRNA from 1 species